rnacentral:misc_RNA from 1 species
GAUGAAGAUCGUAGCGAAAUGCGAUAAGUAGUGUGAAUUGCAGAAUUCAGUGAAUCAUCGAAUCUUUGAACGCACAUUGCGCCCCUUGGUAUUCCAUGGGGCAUGCCUGUUCGAGCGUCAUUUGUACCUUCAAGCUCUGCUUGGUGUUGGGUGUUUGUCUCGCCUCUGCGUGUAGACUCGCCUCAAAACAAUUGGCAGCCGGCGUAUUGAUUUCGGAGCGCAGUACAUCUCGCGCUUUGCACUCAUAACGACGACGUCCAAAAGUACAUUUUUACACUCUUGACCUCGGAUCAGGUAGGGAUACCCGCUGAACUUAAGCAUAUCAAUAAGCGGAGGA